CCUACGGGAGGCAGCAGUGGGGAAUAUUGCACAAUGGGGGAAACCCUGAUGCAGCGACGCCGCGUGAGUGAAGAAGUAUCUCGGUAUGUAAAGCUCUAUCAGCAGGGAAGAAAUAGCGACCUUUGGGUCGCCAGACGGUACCUGAUUAAGAAGCCCCGGCUAACUCCGUGCCAGCAGCCGCGGUAAUACGGAGGGGGCAAGCGUUAUCCGGAUUUACUGGGUGUAAAGGGAGCGUAGACGGCUGCGCAAGUCUGAGGUGAAAGGCCGGGGCUUAACCCCGGAACUGCUUUGGAAACUGUGCGGCUAGAGUACAGGAGAGGUAAGUGGAAUUCCUGGUGUAGCGGUGAAAUGCGUAGAUAUUAGGAGGAACACCAGUGGCGAAGGCGGCUUACUGGACUGUAACUGACGUUGAGGCUCGAAAGCGUGGGGAGCAAACAGGAUUAGAUACCCGUGUAGUC
rnacentral:rRNA from 1 species